rnacentral:rRNA from 1 species
GACGAACGCUGGCGGCGUGCUUAACACAUGCAAGUCGAGCGGUAAGGCCCCUUCGGGGGUACACGAGCGGCGAACGGGUGAGUAACACGUGAGCAAUCUGCCCAUCACAUCGGGAUAACUCCGGGAAACCGAAGCUAAUACCGAAUACGACCGCCCCCGGCAUCGGGUGGCGGUGGAAAGUUCCGGCGGUGAUGGAUGAGCUCGCGGCCUAUCAGCUUGUUGGUGGGGUAAUGGCCCACCAAGGCAACGACGGGUAGCCGGCCUGAGAGGGUGACCGGCCGCACUGGGACUGAGACACGGCCCAGACUCCUACGGGAGGCAGCAGUGGGGAAUAUUGGACAAUGGGCGAAAGCCUGAUCCAGCAACGCCGCGUGAGGGAUGACGGCCUUCGGGUUGUAAACCUCUUUCAGCAGGGACGAAGCGCAAGUGACGGUACCUGCAGAAGAAGCACCGGCCAACUACGUGCCAGCCGCCGCCGUAA